CUAACCGUUAAAUAAUAUCGUAAAUCGUUUAUUAGAGGUUACAGGUUACAAUAGUUUUUGAAUUUUAAUAUUUUUGAAUGAUGAAGAAGUAAGAAAGAAGUACAGACCCCCACUGAGAAAGAAGCACAAACCCCCACUGAGAAAGACCUCUUUUACUUGGAUGUUGGAUAGUUUUUGAAUGAGGGCCUAGACCGCAGACGCAGAAUGCAGAUUGCUUUAUUCUCUUCUCUCGUUCAGACGUUCACGUGUUUCAAUUAUUAUGCUAAAUGUGAAUGGCAGAAACAAUAAUUAGUUUUUUCUUGUUGGAAUGCUACGGUACCUGUAAAUGAAUGUGACCGAAGGCUUCACUUGUGCAAGUUAGUGCAAGAGACUGAAGGACCAGCAUCAGAAGGCAGUUUAGGAUUUUGGAAUGAUCGUAGACAUGAUUGCCUAUCAUCUUGAUAUGAUCUUGAAAAAAGAGAUUUAGUUCCUACUAAAAUGUCUAUUGGAGGAGACUAUUUUGACUCGCCUGACACUAAGUUUGUUGGAAAAAUAUAACUGAAGCCUGAAGAGUGCAAUUAUCAUUCAUUUAUUGCCUUCAACUGUUCAUGAUGAUGAUAAAAGGACCCCAUUUUUAAAAUCAAGAAACCAAUGCAUACAUCAGCAUUGACGUAGCUAAUCUUGUGACUUUUUAAUUGGCAGUUAUGGAAGACAAUAGUGGAACAUCAUCCUAGCAGAGCAGCGGCACAUCAUGAGGAGAUCAUGUCAACAGCCAGGCGGCCAGUGAAGUCAUCGUUGAAUAUGAUCGAAUUCAAGAAACUACUUCAACUGUCAUCGAGAUCCCAUAUCUACAGUACAGCAGUCGUGUGGAUGCUCUGGAUACAAGCUGACUUAUGGGAGUGGAUAUAACUCCCCGUAUCACAUAGAUCUAGGGUACCCACGGUCCUACACAGGGUCUUGCUCGCUUCGACUAUUAAGCUGUUGGAUAUGUCCUUUAUAGUAAAAUAUUCCGUAGGCACAUCGUAUCUAUACCGAAUGCCGUUCUUCAGCCAUCCAUAAUUAUAGACUCUAUACAUCAUGGACACGUCAUCUCUUUCUAUCUGAGGUACUGUCAUUGUGAAAUGUAGUGUGUUAGUUAUUCUGUCGUAUGAUGAAAUAAAUACAUUUGAUAAUACAUAGAAUAAGUGAGGGUUCAUCCUAUAAAUAGUAUCUCUCAUUUCAUCUUUCAAUAGUAUGGUGUUGAAAAGAUCCGUUACACUGAUGAGAUCACGUGAUACCUGAUUAUUUAGAGACAUGACAAUCAAGUCCCUCAUUCUUGUGUAAUAGCUUUGUAUCUGGAACAAAUAUUCCGUCAACGAAAAUCGCAACUGAUUUCUACAUGUUUCAUUCUUCAGUAAAUCACUUGUUGAUACUGAGUAUUUCCUCAUGGAUUCUAAUGUGGCUUCUGAGUUCAUCUUCCAUUUUCUAUCUGCUUCAGUGUUUAUCUUCAGGUUUUCUCUCAAUUUAUCUAUCUUAUUGGUAAGGUCUCUAUUGGAUACAAAAGUAAAGAAGGCACUACUCAAGCCAACCACCAAUGAUUCCCCCCAUGAUCUCUUUGAUCGAGAGCCUCUGAUCACUUCUUGCACACAUUCUUCAGGAUUGGAUUGACAUUUUUCAGUCGUCAAUAUUCCAGCCUCUGAUGGGAGUGUUGUUAAUAGUUCCUCAAAAUCUUUUCCCUCAGUUACUAUCAGCUUCACCAAAUCAGAACUAGAAUUAUCAAAACAAGGGUGAUUUCCAAAAAUUGAACUGUUUAUCUUCAUAUUUUGUAUAUUAAAAUGCAGAUUAUAAAAUACAUAUUUCUUUGGGGUUAGUACAAUACGAUCUGCUUCCGUGAUGAUCCCCACUUCUGGAAUCCCGAUGGAUUCUUUCAGGGAUGCUGCAGUUGAAACCAAAUGCAGUACUACAACUAAUCUAAUAAAACUCAUCUUUCUAUGCAUAUACGUAUACUUUUACAAAUAUUUGUUUGCUACAAUUCACCGUGGUCUUCCCCUCCUCACUUUGGAGCUUUUCCAACUCAGCAAAGUAAUGCCAUUCAAUUUUGUUGUUGAGUAAGGGCAUUGUGCCAUCUAGAAGAAGCUCCUUCUCUCCUAUUAAAUUUCUCAUCAACCUCAGAAUAUGGGCUGCUUCUGAAAGGCAAUACACUUUGUUAGUGGGAUCCACUCAAUACCCUUUGUGCAAACCAACUCUUUGCAGAUUCCCCAUUGAUUUCAACACCAAGACCCUCCAGCACUGAUUCAUUCAUAGUUGUACUGUCAAAUGUCAAUGCUACAACUUUCACUCCAGUUUCAUGAAGCUUCUGUAAAUAUUGAUCGAUCAGAUUAGUUCUUGUAUUAGCACUGAGGCCAUUAAUCAGGCAAUAUCCUAUUGGUAUUUUCCAGCUCUGAUUGACAGUGAUUAGCUUUUCCCAAGUCACAGCGAUCCACAACCAGUUUGCCAUCCCAAUCAAGCAUCAGACAACCAAAAAUGGGCACCUGACUCCUCUCCACUUCUGAUGCUAUUUUGACAAAGCUCUCCUCGGUAAACCCCGGUUUACCAUCCACAGCUAAAGCCCAAUGUCCAAUUGUGCUUGAAUGUGGCAGCUUUAUGAAUUUACAUAAAUAUGUAUAUAUGUAUGAGUAGUGAUUUUUCACCAAUUGAGCACCAGACCGAUCACAGAGCAGCAUAUGCCAGGUCAAGAGCUACUAUAUACUGUCCACCGCUCGUAACUUGGCCUCUGGAAGGAAUGUAGUCGAUCUAGUUUUAGGCGUGACAUAUGGCACUGGAGAGCCAGGUAGCGAGUACACAAACGCUGUGGUCUAUUUGCCUUCGCCAAAUGUAAUUGAGCAAUUUCCACCCCACCAAAUUUGUAAUUUAACCAGCGAUCUAUAAGUAAAAUUACAUCCUAACGUUUUUAGUUGAUACAUAAAAUAAUUGAGUUUAAGAUGAAUAACUAACUUAAUUAAAAAAUAACACAAUGUUUUGACAUUUACUCCGGUCAGCUGCGGAAACAAAACUGAAAGCUGAAUGGUGAAUAGCUUUAUUAGUGAGCAUGGUUUGUAGUCACACUACCGAGUUGUCAACAACAUGGCACCACUCAUUCAUUUACCCCCUAUGCCUCAGACCUCAGAAGCCAAGCUAGGAGCAGUGGACAGUACAUCACUUUUUUACUCUGUGGUGACUGAAAAAGCACUGCAUGCACAUGAAAUUGUCAUCACAGCCAAUGCAUUUUAUUGAAAUCAUUCAUUGUUUCAAUGCUGUUUGAUGACCAAAUUGUUUAGAAACUUGUGAAUUACAAUGACCCCUUUUUCUAGUAUCACCUAACUUGUGUUCCUUUUCAACAAUUUGCUCUGGCAAUUCAUUCAUGGUCAGUUGUAAGUCCAACGUAAUUGAUCCACGAAAUUUUACAAUACUCAUCUUAUGAUUUGUCAUUUUUUUCAAAAAGAGAUUAUUCAUUAGUAACAGCUGUGUUGCAUAAAAUUUCUAUGCCUACCUUGUGAUACCAUAUUAUACUUUUUCUUACUGGGGAGCCAUAUGAUUUUUUCUGAUCAGAUGAAUCUAUGUAGGUUUUUGCUUUAUUGCAAUCUAUUACAACUUUUGGUUUUCCACAACCCCACGCUUUGUCAUCAAGGGUUGUAGUUCUGGCAUAUGUACAAGAAUAGAACAUCAUGCUUGUCCCUCCACUUCCCUACAAUGACUUUUGUAUUGCUCUCCAAUGGAUACAUUUCACCUUUUUUCAGUUUUCAUUGAACAACAGGAACAGGAUUGUACUUCCUACAAUUUCGUAAAGUUCCUACUAAAAGAUGUUUUCUAUCAAUCAAAUGAUGAGCUAAUUGCUUGUCAGUGUAGAAGUUAUCUGUAUACAGUGUUCUGUUUGAAUCAUUCUUUAUUGAAGAAUUCAUUUGAAUUUAUCUUCUUACACAAAACAUCCUUACUUUUCAAAUAUUCCGAUAAAAAGUGAUCCUGAUAUGGUUUAUCCAUAGAACUAAAUAGAUCAAAAAGUUCAGACUUAAUUUCAUCAUGUAUUUUUCGUGAACACUCUGAUUUAUAACAAUUUAGGCGGUAGGUGCAAUAAGGGCUGUAACUCAAAACUAUCAUUCUGAGAUAUGAAGAUCCAAAGUUUUUACACAUAUAUCUUGUAACAUUCGGUUAACAUUGUUGAAAUAUGAAUGGUUCAAUUCUUUUGAAAAUAUGUUCUCUAUGGUAAAUUAAUGAAAACAAAUUUUAUUUCAAGAUACUUCAUUUUCAAUUUAAUAUAAUAUGGAAGUAUGUUGAAAGCCCUUAUUCGGGAGAAUACUCUUUUUGACAUUCUAUACAAUAAGGGCUUAUAAAUUUGUUCUCCCCAAUAAGGUCUUGGGUUAUUUAAUGAGUAAAUUUCGUAUAGAUAAUAAAUAUUACAAUACUGUUUAAUGUAUUUAAUCAUUUAUUUAUUCCUAUUUAAUAUAAUCUUGAUAACUGGGCUGAAAACUAUAUAUAUGUCUUUAUGAAAAAUAAAACUUCAAAAGUGUUCAUAGUUCAAUGAAAUCUUGAAACCAGAUGCCAAAUAUUAGUUGAAAUGAUGCCCCAAAUAUGAGUGUUAUCCUAUUUGAAAAUAAUAUGUAAAUGUGUUAUGAAGAAACAUCCAUGGCCAGCGGUUCAUCAUUUUCUUCAUCUUCUGAAUCAGGGGAGAAGUUGUGUACUGGUCAAUCAGCUUCUUGGUUAGUUACCCUUCUCGCAAAAAACUCCUCAUAAAACUGUCGUCUCUUGUUUCAAAUAAGGAUAGAGGUCUUUGACAUCUUUGAUUUUUCCUAUUUUAAGUGGAACUGCUGGUGCAAUAGACAAAGAAAGUUCUUCAGGGAGCUGCUUCAAAUAUUUGAAAGGUUCAUACACUCGAGAGUAUGUCAAAUGACAUGAUUUCGACAUGAUUUGCUCUGCUAUUGCAAUUUAAAAAAUUAAUUUUCAAGUUUUGCAGAACUAGUUCAUUAAUAUCAGAAUCACUAUCUGAUGAAGUUUCAGCAGCAACAAAUAGUUUUUGUUUCAUUGAUGAGGAGAUUUUCUGUACUUUUGUUCUAACAUAGUUCUUAGAAGAAAUUUUGUUUUUAUUGAUUGGGGACUCACCUAGUUCAUGAAGUGAAGCGUUUAAUGUUUGGACGACUGUUGAUGUUGCAGAGAAGUUUGGGUCAUUGUUAUGUUUACCUCGGGUCCGGACGAAUCUUCUUCUUUUUCUUCUUCUUCUUCGGCGUUUUUCAACUUUGUUAGGUUUUUUCUACAACUAUCACAUAUCACAGAGCCGUUGGGUAUUUCUGGUAAUAAUUCAUGAUGUGGUACUUCUUAAUUUUUUUCUGUCUCUAAUAGAAUGAUUUGGUUUCUUAAAUGGAUUACAACACUGCACUCGAAUAACACUGCACUUAUUAGAGUCCAUUAUGAUGAAAUAUAA